GAUGAAGAACGCAGCGAAAUGCGAUAAGUAAUGUGAAUUGCAGAAUUCAGUGAAUCAUCGAAUCUUUGAACGCACAUUGCGCCCGCCAGUAUUCUGGCGGGCAUGCCUGUUCGAGCGUCAUUUCAACCAUCAAGCCCCAGGCUUGUGUUGGGGACCUGCGGCUGCCGCAGGCCCUGAAAACCAGUGGCGGGCUCGCUGUCACACCGGGCGUAGUAGAUUUUAUCUCGCUCAGGGCGUGCUGCGGGUUCCGGCCGUUAAAAAGCCUUUUUUACCCAAGGUUGACCUCGGAUCAGGUAGGAAUACCCGCUGAACUUAAGCAUAUCAAUAAGCGGGGA
rnacentral:misc_RNA from 1 species